AACAGAUACAGAAGACGAGAAUUGAAGAGAUAGAAAUGCUAAAAGCAGUAGUAGCUGCUCUUUCGCGCUCACCACCUCCUUCUUCUUCUUUCACGAGCUACGCUACCAUUCACGAUUCCGCAAACUUUCACCGCGUUUCGAUCAGAGUAGCAACAUACACGAAAAUGGCCUCCUCCUCCUCCUCACCACUCCCCUCACUCAACAUUCCAAAUUUCGUUUCCUUCGAAGGCGCCGACGUACAUUCGCGAACUAAACCUGAUGGCUUCAGAUUCACCUUAGUCUCGUAUAACAUAUUAGCUCAGGCUUAUGUGAAGAGCUCUCUGUUCCCACACUCUCCUUCCCCGUCACUCAAGUGGAAAUUUCGUUCAAGUUCCAUUUUAGAAGUUCUCAAGAACUUGGGAGCUGAUUUUUUCUGCCUACAGGAGGUUGAUGAAUUUGAUAGCUUUUACAAUGGAAGCAUGCGGAACUUGGGAUAUUCGUCUAUCUAUAUGAAGAGAAGUGGACAGAAGCGUGAUGGGUGUGGUUUGUUUUACAAGCAUGACCGUGCAGAGUUGGUUUUGGAGGAGAAAAUUGAAUACAACGAUCUAGUAAAGUCAAUUAAAGAUGGAAACUCUCCAAAUGAUGACAAAGAAAGCAAAGGCCAGCCAAAUAAACAAGAGGAUGCUGCAUCCAAUGAUGGACCUAAAUCGAAUAAAGAAGAUCGUGGAGACCCCAAUGAUCCUCGUGUGAGACUAAAGCGUGACUGUGUAGGAAUUUUGGCUGCGUUUAGGGUCAAAGAUCCCUCUCGUCAUGUUGUUAUUGUGGCCAACACACAUCUUUAUUGGGAUCCUGAAUGGGCUGAUGUCAAGCUUGCACAAGCUAAAUAUCUUCUUUCUCGAUUAUCACAAUUCAAAACUCUGGUAUCAGAUCAAUAUGAAUGCACGCCUGAAGUCAUUUUGGCUGGUGACUUUAAUUCUACACCAGGAGAUAUGGUUUAUCAGUACCUCAUAUCAGGCAAUUCUUCUUCACAAAUUAUGCCUGAAUGUUUGGAGGAGCAACCAAUUCCCUUAUGUAGUGUCUACGCUUCUACGAGAGGAGAGCCACCAUUUACAAACUACACACCUGGUUUCACCGGAACUCUCGAUUAUAUAUUAUUCUGCCCCUCUGACCACAUGAAACCAAUCAGCUUUCUUGAGCUUCCAGACUCCGAUGCAGUCGACAUUGUCGGUGGACUGCCAAACUAUAGUCAUCCAAGUGAUCAUCUACCAAUUGGUGCUGAAUUUGAGAUCAUCAAGGAGUAAAUGGUCUUGUACGGCUAAGUGGUAUUUGAUUUCUCAAGCAUUCAUGUUGAUGAGGCAAAGAAUUGGGGCGAGUAUACUAUGGAUUAGGCAGUGAAAUCAACCGAGUGACUUGACAAGGUGAUGGUCACUUAACCUCCAAUUAUCAAAUGAACAUUACUUGUUUUAGAAAAUUUUGUAGGAUUGAAUUCUCUUUCCAGUUGCACAAUCCUUGCAGAAUCUUUUGCUUGUCUUCCAUCAUGUGAUAUUUUUCAAGAUUUUUUUUCCCUCCGAUUUUGAUGUGUGCAUUUUUAUUAUAAAAACAUAGUUUGUUAUGUGUAACCAGCGGCUUGGCAAGCCACUUUCCUAUUGUUGUUAAGUGACAUUAUUUUUAAAAUAAAAGGAAAAUAUUAGAGGCUAAUACUUUUACUGGAAAGAAAAAUGGAAGGUUGACUAGUAUGUAAGAUAAAUACAAAAAAAAAUAUUAGUCUUCUAAUAUUUCUCAAAAUGAAAAUUUAUAAAUAAGAUAAUCCUUCUGUUUUGUUUUAUAAAUUAGAAAAAUGAAUAGCCGCUAGUAUUUUUGUGCCUGGUGCGAAGUUCUAAAACUGAUCUUUUAAGUAGUUAUGCAAAAAAUGAAUGAUGAUGAUAACGGUAUUGAUGUUAAUGUAUAUAGCUUAUGGCCCUAUGAUGGCGUGACUAGUAGUUUGAUCAUGGCCUUGACAUUCGUUUUCAGUCUAUGGAGUAUGUAGUGAUAACAUUAUGAUUCUUCCUCAGCUUAAUUUGCUCUAUGCUGCAUUAUUAUGGUUAUUGUUAUUGCUUUGCUCUCACAAAUAUGAAAAUGUUUUGGACGGCUAUGAUAUGUCAAUUCAAGUGAUUCUUGGGUCAUUAUAGUGUCACAAUCAUUCACACUAGACUGCAGCAUGGGCAUCACGACUUCAUACACAGUUAUGAAUUAUGAUGGGAGCGUUUUCUUGUUCAAGUUGGGGGUCUUAGGGGACCACCAAUUGCAAGUUGCAAUGUGAGUUUGUGAGGAGUUAGAUUUGGGUGGCUACUUUAGCUUUCUAUAUCCAUCAAUGUGUUUCAUUGAGAAGAACAUUUCUCUUUGUUAAGCAUUUCUAUCUUUUCUUCUCAAUGAAUCAAUUGAUAUUUCACCCUUUAUGAUUAUAAAUUCAAUUCGAAUGUCAAAGUAUCCGCCACUUUUUCUACCCAUUGGCUGAGAAAUAUAAUUGAGUCUAAUCAAGGGAAUUAUUUUUUGGGAGUAAAUUUCUAGCUAAUUUUUUUAGAUUAAUUUUUUGAGUUAUGUAUACCAAAAUUAGUCAUCAAAGUCAGCCACCAAUAUAAAAUACAUGCUGGAAUACAAAUACACAUUAAAAAUAAAUUAAACUAUACAUGUAUUUAUACACAAAUACAUUAGUGACUGAUUUUAGUAGCUGAUUGUAGUGUAUAAAUAACAUUUUUGUUAAUUUUUUACUCUUAUAUUUACAAUAACUCAUAGUUUUGAGAAACGGUUAAUUCAGUUAACCAAAAAUUGGCUACCAAAUUAAUUCAGCUCAGCGUAAACAUUAUUUAUUAGUAAAUUGGUAAAAAAAUCGAAAAAAUUAAAAAAAUCAUAAAUUGAUUUAAUUGGUCUAAUUUUUAACAGCUAAUUAAUUUAAAAUAAUAAAACAUAAUUUAAAAAAAAAUCUAUUUCAUACUUAAAUAUAUUAUUUUAUUAUAUUUGCAAUUAAGCUUUAGAUCUCUCAACCUCUAAUUGUAACCUUUCAAUUUUCAGAACCUUCCAAUCACCUUUUUUUACUUCUUUCUUCUUCCUCUAAAAAAACGCUUAACGCCACCACAAAUUUACCUCUGAGGCUCUCACACUAUUAACCGGUCAUUAUUGUUGUCGACCAUCCUAAACCUACUAUAAACCCAAAUACUCCAAAAGAGAAGGAUUAAAAGGAUAAUUUUGACAAUUAAAAACGCUAUUAGUUCAUCCUGGAGUUUUCUAACAACUUUUACUAAACCAAGUCCUAAAUCAAGUGGAGCUUGAGCUAAGGUACAUAUGGUGGGGUUGAUUGAACUUUAUGGUUCUCAGUGUAUGUUAAAUAUCAUUUUUCCCCAAGGCUUGGGCAACAUUAUAGGGAACCUUAUCCCCACGAACCAUACAAAUCCAUGAAGCAGAGUUGUCACACAUUCGCGAUUCUUCCUUCAUCGGUUGGAGCUGUGUGUAUGUGGGGAGUGGAUCAUCUCCAGUGGAAAAAAAAAUUUGAUAGUAUCCAGUGAAAGAUCUCACCAUUCAAUACAUUCUCUCUCUCAUUUAUUGCUGGUCCCACUUGUAAAAUUAAAGGUGGAAGAUUACACUUUAUUCUCUCCAGUGACAAAAAAAAUAGAGAGGAUCUAUUUCCGUGUAUGUGUGUAAAUGGUCAUUAAUACCCUUUGCAUGUUUACACAUAGACCAAAGGGAAAAAAUUUAAUAUUGAGAGGUUGGGUUAUGCUUGUGAGUUUGAGUGAUGGAUAGGAGUUUGUA